rnacentral:lncRNA from 1 species
CUAUCAGAUGGGUCCCCAAAUCUGCUUUAUCUCAUUUUUUUAAAAAUAGCUACUUUCUACUUCUUCAAAAUCAUAAAUCUAAUAGUAAAUCUGUUCCACUUAAAAAGCAUCCCAGGAGUUCCAUACCAGAUCAGUCUUCAGGCAAAGGAAAAUAAAUAAAUAAAUAAAUAAACUUCUAGAACUAAACAUCAUCAUAUUAGUAUCAUCAUCAUUUAGUAUCUCUUAUGAAGAAUUGCAUUAGGACAAAAUCAUGUUACAUAUUUGCAUAGUUCCCUGAAAAUUCCUUAAACAGAUAUCAGUUAUGUGCUAAGUUACAUGAACUCAGUUACUUACACAGAACUGAAAAGCAAAACCACUGUGAGAGUUAGAAUCCAUAAAAAUGAUCUCUUUCUUGAAAGAUGAAAAAGUAUAUAAAACAUAAAUAUGUUCUGCACCUCCCUUGUUUCUGAUUUUUUUAAGGUGCCCUUUAAUAACUUGAUAUUUCCUUUGGAUGUGCAAUCUGUGGCAUUCCAUCAAAUCGAAAAUGCAUGAAUUUAGUUAUAUGUAUUUUUGACAUUGAGAGAAAAAGCUUAAAUAGACAGAUGGCCUGGAUUGACAGAAAUAUUGAUGACUUCAGGUGGGCUAUAACAAAACUGAAAUGGUUAACUCAUAUUGUUAGAAACUAUGAUGUAGUUGGGCAUAGUGCCUCAUACCUGUAAUCCCAGUGACUUGGGAACUCUAGACAGAAUUGAAAUUUCAAGGCCAGCCUCGUGAACUUAGUAAGACCCUAAGCAAUUUAGUGAGACCUUGCCCCAAAAUAAAAAAUAAAAAGCACUGGGGGUGUAGCUCAGUGAUAAAGGACCCUUUUGUACAAUCCCCAGAACCAUAAAACAGAACUACUAUGUUUUGGCAGUCUCCAAUACUUACCCAACUUUGAGUUACUUAUGCUACAUAAUAGAGCAAAUUAUUUAGCCAUCUAGAAGCAUUAGUUUUGUAAUACUUUGUCUUAAAGCCAUCAAUAGAAGCUUUCAUGCUCAAAGUUAGAUAUUCUGAGGGUAUUUUUUUUUUGAUGAUUAAAAUAACUGCAUUAGGUAGGUGUUUGUUAACAGUUGUGUCAUAGCUUUUCUAGGCAAAAACAUUCUUAGUUGUGUUCACUGGCAAAACCUUGGAGGUCACAUUGCCCUUAUCUGUAUUAGAAUGGAUCCAAGAUUGUUUUCUGAGGAAAAUCUUGGCCUAGCCCACAAAUAUUUUGUCUAUUUCCUUAACUUUUAUAAAACAUUAACCCUAGUUCUGAUGGCUGCUUGUGCAAAUUUUUGAAAUAAUAGCUCUAGGUUGCUACCACCACUCUCUGCUUUCUAGGCAUGAUCAGACAUGCUCAGUUGUGAGAAGUCAUGUUUAUGCAGAAUUUCCUGAAAACUAUGCACUCUUUGAAGCCAUCUAAAUUUUAUUUUCAGAUUUAAGAAAAACCCUUAGAACUCUCUCUUUGGCUAGUCUUCUUUUGGCUCCCCCUAAUAUUACUUUUACUGGACUGCAGUCCAGGAUCACUCAAACAUUCUAAGUUCAGUGACUGCAGAAGUGGCUGCGGGACCCCCACAACAGUUUUACAGCUGAGACAACUGCUCACUCAUCACACUGUGUUCUUGCACUGAGCACUUGCAGAAAUUCAGUACCACAAAAAACUG